rnacentral:rRNA from 1 species
GUGGAAAGGAUGUGGGAUUACACAGACAGUGAGGAUGUUGGCUUAGAAGCAGCCACCAUUUAAAAAAUGCGUAAUAGCUUACUCAUCGAGUGAUCCUGCGCCGAAAAUGAUUGGCGAUCAAGCGUUAUACCGAAGCUCUGGACUUUGCCGCAAGGCAGAGUGGUAGAAGAGCGUUGCAUGCGCAUUGAAGGGUGAUGGCGACUGACCCUGGAGCGCAUGCAAGUGAGUAUGCAGACAUGAGUAACGUAAAGCCGGGUGAAAUCCCCGGCCGCCGUAAACCCGAGGUUUCCAGGGCAACGUGUUUCGUCCCUGGGUUAGCCGGGACCUAAGCCGAGGCCGAGAGGCGUAGGCGAUGGAUAUCAGGUUAAUAAUCCUGAGCUCGCGACCCUUAAACUGGGGGGACGCAUGAGAAGAGAUGACCAGGUUAUUGAAUUCCGAGCUGGGUCCACGGAUCCAGCGCAUCAUCAAAUCGAGUGCCAAGAAAAGCCCCAGCGUAUGCUAAGCGACCCGUACCGCAAACCGACACAGGUGGGUGGGUAGAAUAUACCAAGGCGUAAGAGUGAAACCUGGUUAAGGAACUCGGCAAAUUAGCCCCGUAACUUCGGAAGAAGGGGUGCCUGCAGCGAUGCAGGCCGCAGAGAAAUGGCCCAACCGACUGUUUAUCAAAAACACAGCACUCUGCAAAGACGCAAGUCGAAGUAUAGGGUGUGACACGUGACCAAUGCCGAAAGAUUAAGGCAAGGGGUUAGCCGCAAGGCGAAGCUCUGAACCCAAGUCCCGGUGAAUGUCGGCCGUAACUAUAACGGUCCUAAGGUAGCGAAAUUCCUUGUCGGGUAAGUUCCGACCUGCACGAAUCGUGAAACGAGUUGGGCACUGUCUCAACCAGGCGCUCAGUGAAAUUGUAGUGGCGGUGAAGAUGCCGCCUACCCGCAGAAGGACGGAAAGACCCUAUAGACCUUAACUGUAAGCUGUCAUUGUUUCUUCGGUUUUAAUGCUCAGAGUAAGUGGGAGACGCUGAAGAUGCCCUUUAGGGGGCAUCCGAGUCAUCAAUGAGACACCACCCUUUGAAACUGGAGGAUCUAACCCUGAGCCGUGAAUCCGGCCAGAGGACCGUGUCAGCCGGUCAGUUUUACUGGGGCGGUAUCCUCCCAAAGAGUAACGGAGGAGCGCGAAGGUGGGCUCAGCCCGGUUGGCAACCGGGUGUCGAGUGCAUGGGCAUAAGCCCGCCUAACUGUGAGACCAACAAGUCGAGCAGAUGCGAAAGCAGGCCCAAGUGAUCCGGCGGUAGAAAGUGGAAUUGCCGUCGCUCAACGGAUAAAAGGUACCUUAGGGAUAACAGGCUGAUCACGCCCAAGAGUUCAUAUCGACGGCGUGGUUUGGCACCUCGAUGUCGGCUCGUCGCAUCCUGGGGCUGGAGAAGGUCCCAAGGG